GAGAAGAGUUAAAGAAACCAAAGAAACUGCUAAUAUCUUAAUCUGUAGUUAAAAUCCACAGUCUACUCA
rnacentral:tRNA from 1 species